rnacentral:tRNA from 1 species
GGCUUUGUGGUGUAACGGUAGCACACUCGGCGUGUAUUCGAGAGGCCCAGGUUCGAGUCCCGGCGAAGGCA